rnacentral:rRNA from 1 species
UACGAAGGGGGCUAGCGUUGCUCGGAAUUACUGGGCGUAAAGCGCACGUAGGCGGCUUCUUAAGUCGGUGGUGAAAUCCUGGAGCUCAACUCCAGAACUGCCUUCGAUACUGGGAAGCUCGAGUCCGGGAGAGGUGAGUGGAACUGCGAGUGUAGAGGUGAAAUUCGUAGAUAUUCGGAAGAACACCAGUGGCGAAGGCGACUUACUGGACGAUUGUUGACGCUGAGGUGCGAAAGCGUGGGGAGCAAACAGG